rnacentral:rRNA from 1 species
UACGUAGGGUGCGAGCGUUAAUCGGAAUUACUGGGCGUAAAGUGUGCGCAGGCGGCCGCGCAAGUCGAGUGUGAAAGCCCCGAGCUUAACUUGGGAAUUGCGCUCGAAACUACGUGGCUGGAGUGUGGCAGAGGAAGGUGGAAUUCCACGUGUAGCGGUGAAAUGCGUAGAGAUGUGGAGGAACACCGAUGGCGAAGGCAGCCUUCUGGGCCAACACUGACGCUCAUGCACGAAAGCGUGGGGAUCAAACAGG